AUUGAACGCUAGCGGGAUGCCUUACACCUGCAAGUCGAACGGAGUGGCGAACGGGUGAUUAAUGUAUCGGAACGUGCCCCGUAGCGGGGGAUAACUACGCGAAAGCGUAGCUAAUACUGCAAACUAUUGGAGCGGCAGAGAACGGAUUAGCUAGUUGGUGGGGUAACGGCUCACCAAGGCGACGCUCCGUAGCUGGUUGGAGAGGAAGACCAGUCACACUGGGACUGAGACACGGACCAGACUCCUACGGGAGGCAGCAGUGGGGAAUUUUGGACAAUGGGGGGAACCCUGAUCCAGCCAUCCCGCGUGUGCGAUGAAGGCCUGCGGGUUGUAAAGCACUUGUGGCAGGAAAGCGGUACCUGCAGAAUAAGCACCGGCUAACUACGUGCCAGCAGCCGCGGUAAUUC
rnacentral:rRNA from 1 species